ensembl:Y_RNA Y_RNA Y RNA
AGCUGGUCCAAGUGCAAUGGUGUUUCCAAUUGAUCACAAACAGUUACGGAUUUCUUUGUUUCUUCCCUAUUCCCACUGCUCCACUUGACUACCCUUAU